rnacentral:rRNA from 1 species
UAAUGUAUGGGGAUCUGCCCGAUUAGAGGGGGAUAACUACUGGAAACGGUGGCUAAUACCGCAUAAUGUCUACGGACCAAAGCAGGGGCUCUUCGGACCUUGCACUAUCGGAUGAACCCAUAUGGGAUUAGCUAGUAGGUGGGGUAAAGGCUCACCUAGGCGACGAUCUCUAGCUGGUCUGAGAGGAUGAUCAGCCACACUGGGACUGAGACACGGCCCAG